rnacentral:rRNA from 1 species
UACGGGGGGGGCAAGCGUUGUUCGGAAUUACUGGGCGUAAAGGGCGCGUAGGCGGCUUUUUAAGUCGGGCGUGAAAUCUCCGGGCUUAACCCGGAAGGGUCGUUCGAUACUGUUGAGCUAGAGUGUGGAAGAGGCAACUAGAAUUCCGUGUGUAGCGGUGAAAUGCGUAGAUAUACGGAGGAAUACCUGAGGCGAAGGCGGGUUGCUGGGCCAACACUGACGCUGAGGCGCGAAAGCCAGGGGAGCAAACGGG